rnacentral:rRNA from 1 species
AUAAUGACUCUCGGCAACGGAUAUCUAGGCUCUUGCAUCGAUGAAGAACGUAGCGAAAUGCGAUACUUGGUGUGAAUUGCAGAAUCCCGUGAACCAUCGAGUCUUUGAACGCAAGUUGCGCCCGAUGCCAUUAGGUUGAGGGCACGUCUGCCUGGGCGUCACAU